rnacentral:misc_RNA from 1 species
GAUGAAGAACGCAGCAAAAUGCGAUAAGUAAUGUGAAUUGCAGAAUUCAGUGAAUCAUCGAAUCUUUGAACGCACAUUGCGCCCGCUGGUAUUCCGGCGGUCAUGCCUGUUCGAGCGUCAUUUCAACCCUCAAGCCCCCGGGUUUGGUGUUGGGGAUCGGCUCUGCCCUUCUGGGCGGUGCCGCCCCCGAAAUACAUUGGCGGUCUCGCUGCAGCCUCCAUUGCGUAGUAGCUAACACCUCGCAACUGGAACGCGGCGCGGCCAUGCCGUAAAACCCCAACUUCUGAAUGUUGACCUCGGAUCAGGUAGGAAUACCCGCUGAACUUAAGCAUAUCAAUAAGCGGAGGA